rnacentral:rRNA from 1 species
UACGAGGGGAGCUAGCGUUGUUCGGAAUUACUGGGCGUAAAGGGCGUGUAGGCGGUACCAUAAGUCAGAUGUGAAAGCCCUAGGCUUAACCUAGGAGGUGCAUUUGAUACUGUGGAACUAGAGAUCGAGAGAGGUAAGUGGAAUUACGAGUGUAGAGGUGAAAUUCGUAGAUAUUCGGAAGAACACCAGUGGCGAAGGCGACUUACUGGACACAUAUUGACGCUGAGGUGCGAAAGCGUGGGGAGCAAACAGG